UGCGUAGGCGGCUUGGUAAGUCAGAUGUGAAAUCCUGGGGCUCAACCUCGGAACUGCAUUUGAUACUGCCAGGCUAGAGUACUGGAGAGGAGACUGGAAUUUACGGUGUAGCAGUGAAAUGCGUAGAUAUCGUAAGGAAGGCCAGUGGCGAAGGCGAGUCUCUGGACAGUAACUGACGCUGAGGCACGAAGGCUAGGGAGCAAACGGGG
rnacentral:rRNA from 1 species